rnacentral:rRNA from 1 species
GGGGGGGGCAAGCGUUGUUCGGAAUUACUGGGCGUAAAGGGCUCGUAGGUGGCCAACUAAGUCGGACGUGAAAUCCCUCAGCUUAACUGGGGAACUGCGUCCGAUACUGGAUGGCUUGAGUUUGGGAGAGGGAUGCGGAAUUCCAGGUGUAGCGGUGAAAUGCGUAGAUAUUCGGAGGAACACCGGUGGCGAAGGCGGCUUCCUGGACCGGUUCUGACGCUGAUGGGCGAAAGCUAGGGUAGCAAACAGGAUUAGAUACCCUGGUAGUCCUAGCUGUAAACGAUGGGCGCUUGGUGUUGCGGGUAUCGACCCCUGCAGUGCCGAAGCUAACGCAUUAAGCGCCCCGCCUGGGGAGUACGGUCGCAAGGCUG